rnacentral:tRNA from 1 species
GCUUAAUAGGUUAGAGUGCACGCUUGAUAAGCGUGAUGUUGGCGGUUCAAGUCCGCCUAAGUCU